CAGCCGCCGCGGGAAUACAGAGGGUGCAAGCGUUAAUCGGAAUUACUGGGCGUAAAGCGCGCGUAGGUGGUUCGUUAAGUUGGAUGUGAAAUCCCCGGGCUCAACCUGGGAACUGCAUCCAAAACUGGCGAGCUAGAGUAGGGCAGAGGGUGGUGGAAUUUCCUGUGUAGCGGUGAAAUGCGUAGAUAUAGGAAGGAACACCAGUGGCGAAGGCGACCACCUGGGCUCAUACUGACACUGAGGUGCGAAAGCGUGGGGAGCAAACAGGAUUAGAUACCCCGGUAGUCCCUGUCUCUUAUAC
rnacentral:rRNA from 1 species